AUAAAAUAUAGAAUAUAAGCAUAGUAGAAUAACCUUAUUGUAUAUAGUGUGAACAUUGUAUUAGAAUAUAAGCAUCGAAACGAAUGCUUGAGAAAAGAUAUAUAUCGGGAAGUAAGAUCGGCGAUCUCUUUUUCUGGUUGGCGCGAUAUAAUAGCAAAGGCAUAUUAGAAGGCCAUACCAGCAGCCAGCGGAGAAGGCCUUGGUCCACGCACUGGCAUGUGUCAAAAAUAACGCAAACAAAAA